rnacentral:rRNA from 1 species
UUGAGCCUACGGGGGGCAGCAGUGGGGAAUAUUGCGCAAUGGGGGCAACCCUGACGCAGCAACGCCGCGUGAUUGAAGAAGGCCUUCGGGUUGUAAAGAUCUUUAAGCAGGGACGAAGAAAUGACGGUACCUGAAGAAUAAGCUCCGGCUAACUACGUGCCAGCAGCCGCGGUAAUACGUAGGGGGCGAGCGUUAUCCGGAUUUACUGGGUGUAAAGGGAGCGUAGACGGUUCUGCAAGUCUGAAGUGAAAGCCCGUGGCUUAACCGCGGAACGGCUUUGGAAACUGUGGAACUGGAGUGCUGGA